rnacentral:rRNA from 1 species
AACGAACGCUGGCGGCAGGCUUAACACAUGCAAGUCGAACGCGCCCUUCGGGGCGAGUGGCAGACGGGUGAGUAACGCGUGGGAACCUACCGUUUGGUACGGAAUAACUCAGGGAAACUUGAGCUAAUACCGUAUGUGCCCUUCGGGGGAAAGAUUUAUCGCCAAAGGAUGGGCCCGCGUCGGAUUAGCUAGUUGGUAGGGUAACGGCCUACCAAGGCGACGAUCCGUAGCUGGUCUGAGAGGAUGAUCAGCCACACUGGGACUGAGACACGGCCCAGGCUCCUAGGGGAGGCAGCAGUGGGGAAUAUUGGACAAUGGGCGCAAGCCUGAUCCGGCCAUGCCGCGUGAGUGAUGAAGGCCUUAGGGUUGUAAAGCUCUUUCAGUAGGGAAGAUAAUGACGGUACCUACAGAAGAAGCCCUGGCUAACUUCGUGCCAGCCGCCGCCGUAA